rnacentral:rRNA from 1 species
UACGUAGGGGGCAAGCGUUGUCCGGAAUUAUUGGGCGUAAAGCGCUCGUAGGCGGAUCGGUAAGUCUGUGAAGAAAGACCCGGGCUCAACUCGGGGAACGGCAUAGAUACUGCUGAUCUUGAGACAGUCAGAGGAUGAUGGAAUUCCAGGUGUAGCGGUGAAAUGCGUAGAUAUCUGGAGGAGCACCAGUGGCGAAGGCGAUCAUCUGGGGCUGUUCUGACGCUGAGGAGCGAAAGCUAGGGGAGCAAACGGG